AUUGAACGCUGGCGGCAUGCCUUACACAUGCAAGUCGAACGGCAGCACGGGAGCAAUCCUGGUGGCGAGUGGCGAACGGGUGAGUAAUAUAUCGGAACGUGCCCAGUCGUGGGGAUAACGUAGCGAAAGCUACGCUAAUACCGCAUACGAUCUAUGGAUGAAAGCGGGGGAUCGCAAGACCUCGCGCGAUUGGAGCGGCCGAUAUCAGAUUAGGUAGUUGGUGAGGUAAAGGCUCACCAAGCCGACGAUCUGUAGCUGGUCUGAGAGGACGACCAGCCACACUGGGACUGAGACACGGCCCAGACUCCUACAGGAGGCAGCAGUGGGGGAAUUUUUGGACAAUGGGCGCAAGCCUGAUCCAGCAAUGCCGCGUGCAGGAUGAAGGCCUU
rnacentral:rRNA from 1 species